rnacentral:rRNA from 1 species
UUGCUGGCCGGACCCGGGCCGCGACGGGUGAGUAACACGUAUCCAACCUGCCGAUGACUCGGGGAUAGCCUUUCGAAAGAAAGAUUAAUACCCGAUGGCAUAGUUCUUCCGCAUGGUAGAACUAUUAAAGAAUUUCGGUCAUCGAUGGGGAUGCGUUCCAUUAGGUUGUUGGCGGGGUAACGGCCCACCAAGCCUUCGAUGGAUAGGGGUUCUGAGAGGAAGGUCCCCCACAUUGGAACUGAGACACGGUCCAA